rfam:Citreicella sp. 357 C357_131, whole genome shotgun sequence.
GUGGAGGGCCGGGCGGCCGCCGCCGUUGCAAGACGGGGGAGGAAAGUCCGGACUCGCCGAAACACCGGUGCCGGGUAACGCCCGGGCAGGGCAACCUGACGGAAAGCGCCACAGAAAACAAACCGCCGCCCCUUGGGGCGGUCAGGGUGAAACGGUGGGGUAAGAGCCCACCGCGCCCCCGGCAACGGGGGUGGCAUGGCAAGCCCCACCGGGAGCAAUGCCAAAUAGGGACCUCGCGCGGGGCAUGAUCCCGCCAGGGAUAUCGCCGCAGGGCAGUUUCGGCCCGAGAGGUCCGGGUUGGCAGCUUGAGCCCGUGGGCAACCGCGGGCCUAGAGGAAUGGUCGCCGAACGGCGGGGCAACCCGCCGGGAACAAAAUCCGGCUUACAGGCCCUCCACGCAA